rnacentral:SRP_RNA from 1 species
ACCGGGUGUGUUGGCACUGCCAGUAGUCCCAGCUACUAGGGAGGCUGAGGUGGGAGGAUCGCUUGAGCCCAGGAGUACUGGGCUGUAGUGCACUAUGCCGAUCAGGUGUCCACAGAGUUUGGCAUCAAUAUGGCGACCUCCCGGGAACGGGGGACCACCAGGUUGCCUAAGGAGGGGUGAACCGGCCCAGGUCAGAAAUGGAGCAGGUCAAAACUCCCGUGCUGAUCAGUAGUGGGUUCGUGCCUGUGAAUAGCUGCUGCACUCCAGCCUGGGCAACAUAGCAAGACCCCGUCUCAA